GCCGGGGUGGCGGAAUGGCAGACGCACCGGAUUCAAAAUCCGGCGCCCUCAAAGGCGUGUGGGUUCGAGUCCCACCCUCGGCA
rnacentral:tRNA from 1 species